rnacentral:rRNA from 1 species
CCUACGGGAGGCUGCAGUGGGGAAUAUUGGACAAUGGGGGGAACCCUGAUCCAGCCAUGCCGCGUGUGUGAAGAAGGCCCUCGGGUUGUAAAGCACUUUCAGUGAGGAAGAACGCCUGGUGGUUAAUACCCAUCAGGAAAGACAUCACUCACAGAAGAAGCACCGCCUAACUCCGUGCCAGCAGCCGCGGUAAUACGGAGGGUGCGAGCGUUAAUCGGAAUUACUGGGCGUAAAGCGCGCGUAGGUGGCUUGAUAAGCCGGUUGUGAAAGCCCCGGGCUCAACCUGGGAACGGCAUCCGGAACUGUCCAGCUAGAGUGCAGGAGAGGAAGGUAGAAUUCCCGGUGUAGCGGUGAAAUGCGUAGAGAUCGGGAGGAAUACCAGUGGCGAAGGCGGCCUUCUGGACUGACACUGACACUGAGGUGCGAAAGCGUGGGUAGCAAACAGGAUUAGAUACCCGUGUAGUC